rnacentral:tRNA from 1 species
GAUUAAAUGGCUGAAAUUAGGCGAUAAAUUGUAAAUUUAUUUAUGAAUAUAAAUAAUUCUUUAAUCA